rnacentral:rRNA from 1 species
GAUGAACGCUGGCGGCGUGCCUAAUACAUGCAAGUCGAGCGAAUGGAUUAAGAGCUUGCUCUUAUGAAGUUAGCGGCGGACGGGUGAGUAACACGUGGGUAACCUGCCCAUAAGACUGGGAUAACUCCGGGAAACCGGGGCUAAUACCGGAUAACAUUUUGAACCGCAUGGUUCGAAAUUGAAAGGCGGCUUCGGCUGUCACUUAUGGAUGGACCCGCGUCGCAUUAGCUAGUUGGUGAGGUAACGGCUCACCAAGGCAACGAUGCGUAGCCGGACUGAGAGGGUGAUCGGCCACACUGGGACUGAGACACGGCCCAGAGUCCUGCGGGAGGCAGCAGUAGGGAAUCUUCCGCAAUGGACGAACGUCUGACGGAGCAACGCCGCGUGAGUGAUGAGGGCUUUCGGGUCGUAAAACUCUGUUGUUAGGGAAGAACAAGUGCUAGUUGAAUAAGCUGGCACCUUGACGGUACCUAACCAGAAAGCCACGGCUAACGACGUGCCAGCCGCCGCAGUAA